CCCAGACCAGUAGUGAGAGGUGGUGAUGACUCCCAGACCAGUAGUGAGAGGUGGUGAUGACUCCCAGACCAGUAGUGAGAGGUGGUGAUGACUCCCAGACCAGUAGUGAGAGGUGGUGAUGACUC